AUUGAAUGAGAAGGUGCACAAGACAUAAUAAAGCAGUCCUAAGAAGUUGAAGCAUGUGUGUUUCAACAGCUGGGUCUCGAUGCUUUCCAUCUUCUAACGUGGAUUUUGUGCACAGCAAAGUUGCAUAGGCAAACAUGAGCUGCACAGUAUUAGGGUUGAAUAUUAGCUUAACAUUUUCCAGGCUAGAAAUUAGGGUUGCAACGUAGCGUUCUUUGAUGUUUUCGUCAUGUGUAGGCUGCAUUCUUCAAAACCAAGGUCAAGUUCCCCACAUGAUAUGAGGCGAUGGUGUCAUUCCGUCACUGGCGUCAAUGCAAGGAAUUUGAAAAUGCUGACAAAUCUUGCGCAACAUCACGAAUCCUGAAGAUUGAAGGUAUGUGUGCACAGAGCGAAGCAUAGGAAAGAUGAUGGGGGAGGCAGGAGCCAUGAGUGUUGUUGAGGUACAGAGGUGGAAGAACUCAGGGAUUGCCUGUAGAACGAUCAUUCAUGUUUUUCUACAGCAUGGGCCCUUCAUUAAUGCCCAUUGCUCGAUUUCAAGGGAGUGAAACAUUCCAAAGACAUUCCUCAGAGGAUAUUAGGAGAAUGGAAUUAAGAGGAGUGAAAAAGAAGACGUCUGCAGAUUGAUGAGGUGGGUUGUUGCAAAAUGGUCUGAGGAUUUUUCGUUCAUGUGGUAAGUGUGGAGCCUCCCUCGCUGUGGUCCCUACGUGAGCAGCUUUGUUGUGUAGCUCUUGUCUGCGUCAGUUGAUUUUUGUUCUGAGGAGUUGCUGUAAUUGAGGUCAUCUAAUUAGUUCCUGGGUUUAAGCUCCGAAACAUAAUGGAGGCUGCUGAGUACAAUCUCUCAGGGCACGUAUGACUUGGUUCCGGAAGGCACCCCCCAGAUGGUUGAGGAUGUCACGAAUGAUGGUUUUGAUGGAUUUAUUUAAACCACGGCCUGAUUGCGUACAUGGAACAAGAGAUCAUAUUCACGUUACCUGCUACAACACUGGGAAACCCAAAGAUCUGGAAGGUAUUUGCCCCUGCUCGGAUGUAACUGCGAGAUGUCCUUCAGAAUUUGUGUGUCUUGAUGUUAGUUGUCACACUGGAAUGAAGGGAGCGGGAGGAGCAGAAUUUUAAAUAGUGGAAACCAUGACGGAAAUAAUCUCGUCCACAUCCAAGAACUCAACGACUUUAACAAGAAAAAUUCAGAAAUUUCCAUGAGAAAUUGAGGUGACAUUUUCGAAAGCUGAUUUCCAAUUGCAAGCAUUAGGAUUUCAGGUGGACUUUCUGAGACCAUGAGUUGUGUAUGUAGCUGUGCUGCCGUUUCGAUUUCACCUGUGGCUCAUGUAUUGAAGAGGGUGCUAGUCAUAGAACGCGAUCUGGGGUUAAAUGACGCUUCCUAAAAUGCUUGCAUUGGUUGUGGUAUCAUGUCCUAAAAGUGAUUUGAAUUGUCAAGGUUUCUUGUCUUUUCAACUAAAACAUUUGUUAAGUGUUGCGACUUGCUCAAGCACAGCCACUUAGAAUUCCAUCCUCGAAGUAGUCCACUAGUAUAAUCUAGAAGAAGCAUCUUAACACAUGGAUAGGGAACUUCUUAGGAGUGGAUUACUGUAACAAUGUAAAUAAGAGAUUAACGGUCCUAGUCUCUCUUCUGAUCCUCUCUUACUUCCUAGAUUUAUGCAGAUUCAUGCAAGUUUAUACAGAUUUAUGCAGAUAUAUACAAGAUAGAAGGCAUAAGACUCUUCUCUUCGAUUAAGUAAUAAGAAACAUUUUGUAAUAAAUUCCAUGAGCUGAAUAUACAUAAAGAUUUUUUCUAUUA